UACGUAGGGUGCAAGCGUUAAUCGGAAUUACUGGGCGUAAAGCGUGCGCAGGCGGUUUUGUAAGUCUGUCGUGAAAGCCCCGGGCUCAACCUGGGAAUUGCGAUGGAGACUGCAAGGCUUGAAUCUGGCAGAGGGGGGUAGAAUUCCACGUGUAGCAGGUGAAAUGCGUAGAGAUGUGGAGGAACACCGAUGGCGAAGGCAGCCCCCCUGGGUCAAGAUUGACGCUCAUGCGCGAAAGCGUGGGGAGCAAACAGG
rnacentral:rRNA from 1 species